AGUUUGAUCCUGGCUCAGGAUGAACGCUAGCGGCAGGCUUAACACAUGCAAGUCGAGGGGCAGCGGGGAGGAAGCUUGCUUUCUCCGCCGGCGACCGGCGCACGGGUGAGUAACACGUAUGCAACCUGCCCCUGUCAGGGGGACAACCCGCCGAAAGGCGGGCUAAACCCGCGUACAUGCCACCGGGGCAUCCCGGAGGCAGGAAAGGCUUCGGCCGGACAGGGAUGGGCAUGCGGCGCAUUAGGCAGUAGGCGGGGUAACGGCCCACCUAACCGACGAUGCGUAGGGGUUCUGAGAGGAAGGUCCCCCACACUGGUACUGAGACACGGACCAGACUCCUACGGGAGGCAGCAGUGAGGAAUAUUGGUCAAUGGUCGGGAGACUGAACCAGCCAAGCCGCGUGAGGGAGGAAGGUACAGAGUAUCGUAAACCUCUUUUGUCAGGGAACAAAGGCGGGGACGUGUCCCCGGAUGAGUGUACCUGAAGAAAAAGCAUCGGCUAACUCCGUGCCAGCAGCCGCGGUAAUACGGAGGAUGCGAGCGUUAUCCGGAUUUAUUGGGUUUAAAGGGUGCGCAGGCGGUCUGUUAAGUCAGCGGUCAAAGCCCGGGGCUCAACCCCGGCCCGCCGUUGAAACUGGCAGUCUCGAGUUGGAGAGAAGUAUGCGGAAUGCGCGGUGUAGCGGUGAAAUGCAUAGAUAUCGCGCAGAACUCCGAUUGCGAAGGCAGCAUGCCGGCUCCACACUGACGCUGAAGCUCGAAAGCGCGGGGAUCGAACAGGAUUAGAUACCCUGGUAGUCCGCACAGUAAACGAUGGAUGCCAGCUGUCCGGGCCGAAUGGGGCCUGUGUGGCAAAGCGAAAGCGUUAAGCAUCCCACCUGGGGAGUACGCCGGCAACGGUGAAACUCAAAGGAAUUGACGGGGGCCCGCACAAGCGGAGGAACAUGUGGUUUAAUUCGAUGAUACGCGAGGAACCUUACCCGGGCUCAAACGCGUCAGGGAUCCCCUCUGAAAGGAGGGGAGUCAGCAAUGACCUGGCGCGAGGUGCUGCAUGGUUGUCGUCAGCUCGUGCCGUGAGGUGUCGGCUUAAGUGCCAUAACGAGCGCAACCCCUACCGACAGUUGCUAACUGGUGAAGCAGAGGACUCUGUCGGGACUGCCGGCGCAAGCUGCGAGGAAGGCGGGGAUGACGUCAAAUCAGCACGGCCCUUACGUCCGGGGCGACACACGUGUUACAAUGGCAGGUACAGCGGGAAGCCACCGGGCGACCGGGCGCGGAACCCGAAAACCUGUCUCAGUUCGGAUCGGAGUCUGCAACCCGACUCCGUGAAGCUGGAUUCGCUAGUAAUCGCGCAUCAGCCACGGCGCGGUGAAUACGUUCCCGGGCCUUGUACUCACCGCCCGUCA
rnacentral:rRNA from 1 species